rnacentral:lncRNA from 1 species
ACUAACUUCAUUCAUCAUACCCUCCUUUAUAUAGAAGGAAAGGUUGGCAAAGGAUAAGGAUAAGGACUACACAGAAUUUUAAAUUGGACUCCUAAUUACAUGUGGACUCAAUUCAAAAUUUAAAUUUUCUAGUUGACCAAUCAAAGACCUUGACACCUAAGCCUAAACACCUAAGAUCCAUAUCUAUGGCGUGUGGAUUGAAACCCAUCAAAAGGAAUUCAGCCGCAUGCCAUGAAUAUUUAUCUAGGUGGAACUCCUUCUCGGGUACCAACAUCAGCAUGAAGUUCGGGAGACUCCUCAAAUAUUCAUCUGAUCUCCAAAUUUCAUGUUCUUAUAGUCAUUGGAAAGCUACGGAUGUCUACUUUCCAACAAAAUUUGAAUCAUUAAUCAGACUUCUGUAGCUCUCGAAAUCUUCAAAAUACCAUAAGGUGUUCAAUCUGUCACGGAUUUCAACUGGAUCUGAACUCUGAAUUUCUUCCACAUGUGAGAGGUCUUCAUGGUUGAACUUCUCUUUAUUUUGACAUGUGACCACUUCUAAUUAGCCAUGGACCC